rnacentral:rRNA from 1 species
AACGGCCAUACCAUGCUGAAUAUAUCGGUUCUCGUUAGAUCACUGAAGUCAAGCAUCAUUGGGCGCGGUCAGUACUUGGGUGGGUGACCACCUGGGAACACCGCGCGCCGUU